rnacentral:lncRNA from 1 species
GAUGCACAUAUUGCUCGUACAGCUCAACCAACUGAAGCCAACAUCCACUACAAAAAACUCAUAAACAAGUUAAUAUUUAUGUGUAGUCAAACUAUAGCAAUCUUACUAUGAGCAACUGCAACACCACAGGUCAAAAGAUCAGUCAUAUAACUACAAUAUCGAGAUAAUCACUGAUGAUCGAAUAGAACUUCAUGUGAUCUCUCGUAUAGUCACGCUCAGUACUAGUUAUUCUCUAACAACUAUCCAUACUUUUCGCUCAGUA